GUUAGGUUCCUAAGCCUAUUUCAAGGACUAAUCAAGAAGUUUUGACAUGAAGUUUCACAAAACAUUUUCAACAUGCUUGAUCAUUGAUUUACCACCAACCUAACUUCAGAUUUUUCCUAAUCAUGUGAGCUUGUUUGCAAAAAAAAAAAAACUAUUCACAAUAUUCACACUACUUACAAACUUAUCACCAAAUAUUUAAACAUUAAACUUAAAAACUUCCAAAAGAUAUUGUCUCAAACAUUGUCAGGUACCACACCACAUGUUCAGAAUACAAAAGCUUAACAAAACCACAUAAAACACAAUUUAAAUUUGUUCACAACAAAAACAACUAAAUAAAUCAACUAGUAAAAGAAAUAAAUGACUGAAAGCUUGUAAAUUUUCACUCAUUUUGGUGAGCUUUCAGUCAUCAUCUGAACCCGCUUCUUCUUCUUCCUCCUCCUCCAUGCUUGCAUCACCCUCACCACCAUCAUCUUCUUCAUCAUCAUCAUCCAUACCAGCUUCUUCAUCAGCAUCAGCAUUUGGUGCCAUCCCUCCCCCAAUGAAAGUAGGCCUGACCUCAGGCCAUGCAACAUAGGUUUGAAAAUCUUGCGGUGUCAUCACCGACUGCCCGGUGUGCUGAUUAUAGAAGGACUGCUGCAUUGCACUC
rnacentral:lncRNA from 1 species